rnacentral:rRNA from 1 species
CCUACGGGGGGCAGCAGUGGGGAAUUGUUCACAAUGGGCGCAAGCCUGAUGACGCAACGCCGCGUGGAGGAUGAAGGUCUUCGGAUUGUAAACUCCUGUUGCCCGGGACGCGGUACCGGGUGAGGAAGCCCCGGCUAACUCUGUGCCAGCAGCCGCGGUAAUACAGAGGGGGCAAGCGUUGUUCGGAAUUACUGGGCGUAAAGGGCGCGUAGGCGGCCCGGUAAGUCGAACGUGAAAUCCCUGGGCUCAACCCAGGAACUGCGUCCGAUACUGGUGGGCUUGAAUCCGGGAGAGGGAUGUGGAAUUCCAGGUGUAGCGGUGAAAUGCGUAGAUAUCUGGAGGAACACCGGUGGCGAAGGCGACAUCCUGGACCGGAUUGACGCUGAGGCGCGAAAGCCAGGGGAGCAAACGGGAUUAGAUACCCUUGUAGUC